CAUCUGGGAACAGAAGUGGACCUGCAGAGGCAUCUGAGUGCUGUAGGAGAAAGUGCUGGAAUGGGAACUGGGCCCGAUGGGGGCUGAUCUUUAUCAGGAUGCUGGAGUUAUUUCGAGCUGUUGACGGCAAACAUCUGGAGGAGGGGCAGGCAGUGGGGAGCCUUGGAAAAAGGCAUUUGGGAUUGGAGGACCAAGGCCUCGGUGAGUCUGGGCCUGAGAACCCCCGAGCUUCUGGAGGAAGAAGAGGGAUUUGGAUUCGGUUAUCAGCAGAGGGAGACAUGGAAGGACACUCCAGGAACUGUCAAGGGAGGUUCUGCAGACCAGCCCCAUCUGUCGGUCCCCAGGAGGGUAUGAAAAUGCUCUUCAGCAACACUGAGCCCCAAAGUGGCCACGGGAGACAGAGG